GAGUUUGAUCGUGGCUCAGAUUGAACGCUGGCGGCAUGCCUUACACAUGCAAGUCGAACGGCAGCAUGAUCUAGCUUGCUAGAUUGAUGGCGAGUGGCGAACGGGUGAGUAAUACAUCGGAACGUGCCCUGUAGUGGGGGAUAACUAGUCGAAAGAUUAGCUAAUACCGCAUACGACCUGAGGGUGAAAGUGGGGGACCGCAAGGCCUCAUGCUAUAGGAGCGGCCGAUGUCUGAUUAGCUAGUUGGUGGGGUAAAGGCCCGACCAAGGCGACGAUCAGUAGCUGGUCUGAGAGGACGAUCAGCCACACUGGGACUGAGACACGGCCCAGACUCCUACGGGAGGCAGCAGUGGGGAAUUUUGGACAAUGGGCGAAAGCCUGAUCCAGCAAUGCCGCGUGUGUGAAGGAGGCCUUC
rnacentral:rRNA from 1 species